rnacentral:rRNA from 1 species
UACGGAGGGGGCUAGCGUUGUUCGGAAUUACUGGGCGUAAAGCGUGCGCAGGCGGUUAUGUAAGUCAGUUGUGAAAUCCCCGGGCUCAACCUGGGAACUGCAUCUGUGACUGCAUAGCUAGAGUACGGUAGAGGGGGAUGGAAUUCCGCGUGUAGCAGUGAAAUGCGUAGAUAUGCGGAGGAACACCGAUGGCGAAGGCAAUCCCCUGGACCUGUACUGACGCUCAUGCACGAAAGCGUGGGGAGCAAACAGG